rnacentral:rRNA from 1 species
UACGUAGGGUGCAAGCGUUGUCCGGAAUCAUUGGGCGUAAAGCGCGCGUAGGCGGCCCGAUAAGUCCGCUGUAAAAGUCAACGGCUCAACUGUUGAAAGCCGGUGGAUACUGUCGGGCUAGAGUACGGAAGAGGCAAGUGGAAUUCCUGGUGUAGCGGUGGAAUGCGCAGAUAUCAGGAGGAACACCUGUGGCGAAAGCGGCUCACUGGACCACAACUGACGCUGAGGCGCGAAAGCUAGGGGAGCAAACAGG